rnacentral:lncRNA from 1 species
CCUGUCUCAGCCUCCUGAGUAGCUGGGAUUAUAGGCAUUUGCCAUCAUGCCCAGCUAAUUUUUGUAUUUUUAGUAGAGACAGGGUUUCAUCAUAUUGGUCAGGCUGGUCUUGAAUUUCUGACCUCAGGUGAUCCGCCUGCCUCGGCCUCCCAAAGUGCUGGGAUUACAGGCAUGAGCCACUGUGCCUGGCCUUGCAUACCAGAUUUUAUGAG